GCUUUAAGAUAAUAUUUAAGGUGUAACCUGCCCAGUGCUAUAAAGUAAACGGCCGCAGUACCUUGACUGUGCUAAGGUAGCAUAAUCAGUUGGCUUUUAAAUGGAGUCGGGAAUGAAAGGAUUAAUAAGGCUAAGCUGUCUCUUUUAUAAUAAAUUGAAUUUACUUAUUAGGUGAAAAUGCCUAAAAAUAGAAAAAAGACGAGAAGACCCUAGGAGUUUUUAUUAACUGUUAAUUAACUAACAGUCAUUUUUGUUGGGGCGACAUAGGAGAAAAUAAACCUCCUUUAUGUUACUUGCCGACUAAGUAAGAACGAAUAAACUACCCUAGGGAUAACAGCGUAAUUCUUAUUAGAGCUUGCGACCUCGAUGUUGGACUAGGAAUUUGAUAGGCUAGCCGCCUAUUUAUAUUGUUCUG
rnacentral:rRNA from 1 species